UUUAUUUCUCUUUCUUUUCUCUUUUCCCCCUCAUUUUAUCUCUUCUCCUCUAGGUGACAUUUGCUCUCCCUUCCCCGCUUCCUUCCCCUCGCUUCCCUGGUUCCUUCUCCGACUUCCCGACGAUCGUCAAGCAACGCCGGAGGACGCUUCCCCCACGAGCCCCGAAUCCAGCAGCAUUGCCGGAACACGAGACCACUAUAGCACGGUGACUCCAUCAAAAUGUGUAUGUUCUUUAGUUGAAAACACAAAUCUUAGCUGAAAUAUAAUCAUGUGUUUGGUAUAGCUUCUAUGCUAGGUAGGUUUACUUUAUUUGUGUCCCACGAAAAGUGUAGUUUAUUUGCGUCCCACGCAAAGUGUAGUUUGAGUCCCACGCAAAGUGUAGUUUGAGUCCCACGAGCAGGUCCGCCUUGAAGAAAACAUUCAGUCAAGAGCAGGUUGUGUUCGAUAGCCCUAUUUCUGAUGAACCUGUUAUUGGCAUCAUCGCUAAAGGGAUGUCCGGCCUUGUAUGUGCUCUGUAUUUGGAGAAAAGCGGAAUCCGGUCGAUAUUUUUUGACACAGUAUUGUAAUUUUGAAACUUCUUUAGUAAAUACAUGUAUUGACAGGAUUAUAUUUUUGUAGAGAAAUCAUGGAUUGAGAGGAAGAUUAGGGUUGGGGCAAAGAUAACUGACUUUGAAUUAUUAAAGCUUGUGGAGAGAAGGAAUGAUGGUGAUGAUGAUGAUUUGAUUGUACCGGUUGGUUGGGACUGCAGGAUAUCUUCCUCUAGAGUCUAUUAAGGAGCUGUAGGUGACGAGUAAAACAAAUGUUUUUGCGUUUGGGAUGUUCUUGACAGAACUUGUAACAGAUAUAUGCUAGCACAUCAAGGGAUAGCUUGCUUGCUGCAGUUCGGGAUGUAUUACAAUCAGAAGGUGAGUGCCCAAUAUAUGUACUACCAAGGAUAACACUAUUUGUUCAUAGAACUGAUCCACCAUGUGACAUAGUCCAUUAUCCUGCUGUUGUUGGGAGGAAAAUGGGUUUGCUUAGAAAUGGUUCUGUGGGAGUUGUUGCUGAAGCUAGAGGGCUUUUGUAGUAUUUAUUGGUGGUGGACUUGGAAAUAUGAAUCUAGUAACUGAAUAAAGGAGAAUGACAUGCUACAGUUAUGCAGACUAAAUUUGUUGUUGUCCUUACAAACA